rnacentral:rRNA from 1 species
GAUGAACGCUGGCGGCGUGCCUAAUACAUGCAAGUCGAGCGACCAGACGAGGAGCUUGCUCCUCUGACGUUAGCGGCGGACGGGUGAGCAACACGUGGAUAACCUACUUAUAAGUCUGGGAUAACUUCGGGAAACCGGAGCUAAUACCGGCUCAUAUAUUGAACCGCAUGGUUCAAUAGUGCAAGACGCUUUUGCUGUCACUUAUAGAUGGAUCCGCGCCGCAUUAGCUAGUUGGUAAGGUAACGGCCUACCAAGGCAACGAUGCGUAGCCGAUCUGAGAGGGUGAUCGGCCACACUGGAACUGAGACACGGUCCAGACUCCUACGGGAGGCAGCAGUAGGGAAUCUUCCGCAAUGGGCGAAAGCUUGACGGAGCAACGCCGCGUGAGUGAAGAAGGUCUUCGGAUCGUAAAGCUCUGUUAUUAGGGAAGAACAAAUGUGUAAGUAACUAUGCACGUCUUGACGGUACCUAAUCAGAAAGCCACGGCUAACUACGUG